GACGAACCGUGCGAACGUUAUUCGGAAUCACUGGGCUUAAAGGGAGCGUAGGCGGGCUAUCAAGUCUGGGGGUGAAAUGCCGCGGCUCAACCGUGGAACUGCCUCAGAUACUGACGGCCUCGAGGGAGAUGAGGGGCAUGCGGAACUGUAGGUGGAGCGGUGAAAUGCGUUGAUAUCUACAGGAACUCCGGUGGCGAAAGCGGCGUGCUGGAUCUCUUCUGACGCUGAGGCUCGAAAGCUAGGGGAGCAAACGGG
rnacentral:rRNA from 1 species